rnacentral:tRNA from 1 species
UCCCUGGUGGCUCAGACGAUAAAAGCAUCUGCCUACAAUGCAGGAGACCUGGGUUUGAUCCCUGGGUUGGGAA